AGAGUUUGAUCCUGGCUCAGGACGAACGCUGGCGGCGUGCUUAACACAUGCAAGUCGAACGGUAAGGCCCNUUCGGGGGUACACGAGUGGCGAACGGGUGAGUAACACGUGAGUAACCUGCCCUUGACUCUGGGAUAACAGCUGGAAACAGCUGCUAAUACCGGAUACGAACCUCUUAGGCAUCUUCGAGGUUGGAAAGUUCCGGCGGUCAAGGAUGGACUCGCGGCCUAUCAGCUUGUUGGUGAGGUAAUGGCUCACCAAGGCGACGACGGGUAGCCGGCCUGAGAGGGCGACCGGCCACAUUGGGACUGAGAUACGGCCCAAACUCCUACGGGAGGCAGCAGUGGGGAAUAUUGCACAAUGGGCGAAAGCCUGAUGCAGCAACGCCGCGUGCGGGAAGACGGCCUUCGGGUUGUAAACCGCUUUCAGUAGGGACGAAGCUAACGUGACGGUACCUACAGAAGAAGCACCGGCUAACUACGUGCCAGCAGCCGCGGUGAUACGUAGGGUGCGAGCGUUGUCCGGAAUUAUUGGGCGUAAAGAGCUUGUAGGCGGUUUGUCACGUCGGGAGUGAAAACUCGGGGCUUAACCCCGAGCCUGCUUCCGAUACGGGCUGACUUGAGGAAGGUAGGGGAGAAUGGAAUUCCUGGUGAAGCGGUGGAAUGCGUAGAUAUCAGGAGGAACACCAGUGGCGAAGGCGGUUCUCUGGACCUUUCCUGACGCUGAGAAGCGAAAGCGUGGGGAGCAAACAGGAUUAGAUACCCUGGUAGUC
rnacentral:rRNA from 1 species